GACGAACGCUGGCGGCGUGCUUAACACAUGCAAGUCGAGCGGUAAGGCCCUUUCGGGGGUACACGAGCGGCGAACGGGUGAGUAACACGUGGGUGACCUGCCCUUAGCUCUGGGAGUAAGACCUGGGAAACUGGGUCUAAUACCGGAUACGACUCCGCGGUGCAUGGCUGUGGGUGGAAAGCCUUGUGCGGCUGGAGAUGGGCCGCGGCCGUAUCAGCUUGUUGGUGGGGUGAUGGCCUACCAAGGCGACGA
rnacentral:rRNA from 1 species